AAAGUACUCCCUCCAUCUCAAAAUUCUUAUCUUAGAUUUUUCUAGAUACGGAUGUAUCAAGUCACAUUUUAGUAUUAGAUACAUCUGUAUCUAGACAAAUCUAAGACAAGAAUUUUGGGACAGAGGGAGUAGUUA
rfam:Triticum aestivum genome assembly, contig: Triticum_aestivum_CS42_TGACv1_scaffold_513817_6BS